rfam:TPA: Bos taurus chromosome 21, whole genome shotgun sequence.
UCCCUGGUGGCUCAGAUGGUAAAGCGUCUGCCUGCAAUGCAGGAGACCCGGGUUCAAUUCCUGGGUUGGGAA